rnacentral:rRNA from 1 species
GAUGAACGCUAGCGACAGGCUUAACACAUGCAAGUCGAGGGGCAGCGAGGGCGUAGCAAUACGCCUGUCGGCGACCGGCGCACUGGUGAGUAACACGUAUGCGACCUGCCCCCUACAGGGGUAUAACCCGUAGAAAUGCGGACUAAUCCCCCAUAGUCCUGGAGGCUGCAUGGCUUUCAGGGGAAAGGGUUUCCGGUAGGGGAUGGGCAUGCGGCGCAUUAGCUAGUUGGCGGGGCAACGGCCCACCAAGGCGACGAUGCGUAGGGGUUCUGAGAGGAAGGUCCCCCACACUGGUACUGAGACACGGACCAGACUCCUACGGGAGGCAGCAGUGAGGAAUAUUGGUCAAUGGGCGAGAGCCUGAACCAGCCAAGUCGCGUGAGGGAAGAAGGUCCUACGGAUUGUAAAACCUCUUUUGCCGGGGAGUAACGUGCGGGACGGUCCCGUAUUGAGAGUACCCGAAGAAAAAGCAUCGGCUAACUCCGUG